CAAAAACGUCAAAUAAAAUAUGUUUCGGAUUGUGGGUGCAUUUCAUGUGACGCAGUCCAAAGACGUGUUUUAAGCGAUGUUCACAUUCUUGUAAAAACAAUAAUAAUAAAGCGGUUAAAAGUUAAAAUUUGCACAUAAGUUCAUAUUUGUAUAAAACCAGAUAAUCAAGCCGAAUAUAACAAUUGAGCGACCGUGCUAGAACCACGGAACUCGGGAAUGCCUAACACCUUCUCCCGGGUUAACAGAAUCCCUUAUCCGGAUUUCUGGUACGCAGACUAUAAUAUAGAGUCAUUAUCUUCCUCGAUUUGGGAUUAAAAUUGGUGACUUGGGACACCCUAAAUCUCCCAAGUGGCGACUCUGAAAUAAUUAAACCCAAUCCCAUUUCGAUUGUCCUUUAAUUGGAAAAACUCCCUUGCGCCCCCCUCGGAUGCGUAAAAAGGAGGUGCGACACCGAUCAGCGAGACUCUAAUAAACCGGCUUAUUAUCCAUGACUCAUAUGAACCUAGAGCUAUGAUAUCAACUUGUCACGACCCGGUUCGCCCUCCGUGAACCAUCGUUACGACACCUAGUCUCUAUGACUAGGUAAGCCUAAAAUGCGGAAAUUAACCCAAACUUGCGGAAGAAAAGAAAAACAAUUUAAAAUAGAAAUAGAGAAAUGAAACAACGUUUUAAAGGUACCGCUCUGCAUACACAACAUUUAACUUCUCAAAACCAAUAUAUACUCCCAAAACCCGAAAACCCAUGAAUCACAAGCUAUGAAACAUUGUAAAAUGCUCUAACUCCGGAAUGUCUAUAUCAAUAAUAAAGAUAGAAGGGCUAUCACUACAAGAUAGAAUAGAGGGAGAGACUCAUCGGUUUGCGGACGCGGCAGAUAUACCUCGAAGUCUCCGAAAGAUCACCUCGCCUCAAGGAUGGUAGGUCUGAGUAGAGGUACCUGGAUCUGCACAUGAAAAACAUGCGCAGAAAGGGCAUGAGUACACCACAGCUGUACUCAGUAAGUGCCAAGCCUAACCUCGAUUGGGUAUUGACGAGGAAGGUCAGGUCCCUACUGAGAUUAAAUAAAUAUAAAGAUGACAGGAUAGGAUAAGCAGUACAAUUGAGAAUCUAUACAAGAUAAUAAGGAGCAUAAUAACUGAAACAUAGAUAAAGACAAAACACAAUGAAAUACCACUCAUAACAAGGAUGAUAAUCGGGGAUCUCUCAGUAUCCUCAAUAUACAUAUGUCGGGGAUCUCUUCGUAUCCCGAGGAUCUCUUGGUAUCCUCAAUAUACGUGCCAAGGAUCUCUUGGUAUCCAGAGGAUCUCUUGGUAUCCUCAAUAUACGUGCCAAGGAUCUCUUGGUAUCCCGAGGAUCUCUUGGUAUCCUCAAUAUACGUGUCAGGGAUCUCUCGGUAUCCCACACCUCAGUUCAAAUCAUAUAUACAUUCAGGGGGAUCUCCCGGGAUGUCGUCCUGUAGUCCAAAAAUAAAACACACAGCAACACAUAAGAAUACUCAAUUAAGCUAAACUUUGUACUAAGUAAAACAGGUAAUUCUAACCUAACAUCCUUCACGUAAUGCAAUUAAGGCAGUUUAAGCAAAUGGGCAAUUAGGUCAACUAACAUGUUUUUCUAACUAACAACAUAUUAAAUUUGCAAGUAGAAUAAAACAGGAAAAAGGAACUCAAUUGAAAUAACUUAAAAAAACCGAAUUUUUCAACAAUUAGCUCAAGUACGCACUCGUCACCUCACGUACAAGGCAUUUCAAAUAUCAAAUAUACCAAAUCCUAAGGGGAAGGUCCCCCACACAAGGUUAGGCAAGCCACUUACCUCAAACCAGCUCAAAUCAACCCGAAACCACGCUCUUGCCACGAGUACUCGACUCCAAAUGGCCCGAAUCUCUUCAAUUCAAUUUCAUAAUGUAAAUAACACUUCAAGUAACUGAUUCAUCAAUUAAAUUCUAAGCUUAUACGCGAAAUUAGGUAAAAUAACCAAAAUGCCACUUGGGCCCACAUCUCGGGAUCGGGUAAAAUUUACACUUCCAGAAUCCUCACACUCUCACGAGUCUGACCAUACUAAAAUUAUCCAAAUCCAAUGUCAAAUCCCUAAUCAAAACUCAAUUUUUUGGUCUAACAUCCUUUAUGUCCUGCCGAGUUAAUUCCUUAAUCGCGAUCGCGGAAGACCAGACGCGAUCACGAAGAACAAAAACCACGCGCCUCAAAUUUACUUUACGCGACCGCGGAACCCCGUCCGUGACCGCGAUGCUUUAGCUCCCUCAACCUACGUGAUCAUGGUUGACUCCAUGCCACCGCGUAGAGAAACACUUAACAAACCACUGCCGCAUUAUUUCUUCUAUCCGAACGCGCCCUAGCCCACGCAUUCGCGAUUCAGCAUUGCUCAUAGCUACGUGUUCGUAUUCCUCUUCACGCGAACACGAAGGGUAAAAAUUCCCUCUGCCUCGUCUAAGCCUUCGCGAUCGCGAUCCUCCCCACGCGAUCGCAAUGAAGAAAAGUUUGCAACACAUACUAGCAAAAAUCUAAUGCUUCUCCAAGUCCAAAAAUGGUUCGUUGAGCAUCCGAAAUAUACCCGAGGCCGCCGGGACCUUAACCAAAACUGCCAACCAAUCCUAAAACAUCAUUCAAACUUGCUCCAACAUUCGGAACGCACAAAACAACAUCAAAACACCUAUUUUUCGUCGGAUUCAAGCUUAAGAAUUUCAAAAACUCUAAAAACACGCUUUCGAUCAGAAAGUCUAUCAAACCUCGUCUGAAUGACAUGAAAUUUUGCACACACGUCACAUUAAACACUACGGAGCUACUCCAACUUCCGAAAUUCUAUUCCGACUCUCAGAUCAAAAUCUCAAUAUCGAACCGUAAACUUCAAAAAUUUUACUUUCGGCAUUUCAAGCCUAAAUUAGCUACGGACCUCUAAAACAAAAUCUGAACACGCCCUUAAGCCCGAAAUCACCCAACGGAGCUAACAGAACCAUCAGAUUUCCAUUCCAAGGCUGUCUUCACACUGUUCCGACUACUGUCAACUUUCCAACACUUAAGUUCUCAUUUAGGGACUAAGUGUCCCAAAACUCUCCGAAACUCAAAACCGAAUAUCCCGGCAAAUCAAAAUAGCAGAAAUAAACUCGGGAAAAACAAUUAAUAGAGGAUCGGAGCAUUAAUUCUUAAGACGACCGGCCGAGUCGUCACAAUUAUCUUCCUAAUAAAUAUAAGCUCACUUGACAAAAGUUUGUUAUGUCUGACAAGCCAUAUAAAAUGUUUAGACUGGUCAGCAAUACAAAGCUUUAAUAUAUUAUUUCAUUCCGCGUUAUAUGAGGUAGUUACAUUAUCACAAAUAUGCCGAUUUGGUACUAAAAGUGAUUUCUUCUUCAGAAACAACAUUAUCACGAAUAACAUUAAAUAAGAUAAUAUUUAUUUGAGUGGAUCGAGAAAAUGAGUUACAGAUGUAAACCAUUAUCUAUCCAAUAAAACAUCAGAACUUUAAUAAGUGUGGCAACUUUGGUUAGUGUCGAUAUUAACUUUAUAAAUAAGUGGCCGCUCCACCAAUUAAGCCAAAACUUAAUUAAUCUUCGAUGGCCAAAUCCUAUUUUGUCCCCUUCACUUUACAAAAUUACAUGUUGCGAAACACCGGCACAACUGCCACUUAAUUGCAAUGGCGAUAGACACCGUAGCAUAAAAUUUACAUUUCAUGUUGCAAAACCAACCAAAAUUUUAUUAUUAAAAUUCCUUUGAGAGAGCAUAUUUCCUUGUAACAGACUUUCUAUUUUUACAAGGUAGGAAUAAAGUUUGCAUACACUCUACCUUCCCCAAACUUCACUCAUAAAAUUAUAUUAUUAUUGUUGUUAUUUCGAGAGAGCAUACUUAAGAAACAUGUCAAUAUUUACUUAGGGAUUAGUUUAAUUUGUAAGGGAUGCACGUAAACUCGUACAGAUACCUACUCAGUACUCACACUGUUACUAAUCUAAUAAAAUUAAAUUACAAAACACAAAUAUAUUCUCUCAUAACGAAUUUACAUGGCGUAACAUGACUCACUUUCCCAUAGAAUUAGAAACUCUUUGCAAUAAAAGAGAACUAAGGGAGUGACCAUACCGUGCUACCCGUUAUUGCAUUUUAGGCAAUAAAAAGUUACUAAUGAUAUAUAAUAUUCAAAAAUUGUGGAAAAAUAAGAUUUCGAAGAAGAUUAGAGAUAAUUUGGACUGGUUUGAAAUCAAAACUCAUAGUUAAAAUCGAGUAAAGGAAAUUUUUCUAUGUCACAUGUAUCUCAAACAUAAGCAAUCUAACUUUAAUGACUUGCGAUGGAGUUUUAUAAAAGAAAUUGUUGCUAUGCAUGAAGCAUGAUCUUUCAUGAUCUUAAUUCAUGCUAUCAUUUGUAAUUGUUCGUUGGCGCUCCUGCUCUAUAUUCCAAUUGAGGUAUGGUUUUCGUCAAUCUAUAUUUUUAACUAUCUUAAAUUAUAUACGGUUACAUAGCCUAACCCUUUGAAACAAAAUGUGAAUUCAGAAGUAUAAGUAGUUUUAAUUUGUUGCUAUAAUAAACAAAAAUGACUAUUACUGCUGGUGACAAUUUGUGUGCUGCAAAGUCCAUUGCAUCCUUUAUCUGGGGAAAAAUUCUCGGUUGAGGUUUUAAUAUUUUUAUCAAUGUUAAUUGACAUCAAUUACUGUUCUUUUGUUUGUAUUUAUAGACAUCAUGUCAAUUAAUUAUUUAGAUUAGUAUAGCCGAUUUAUUGUAAAUGUGAGUGCAUAGCAAAAAGUAAGGAACAAGAAGCCACGAAGCACAAAGAAGGGAGGCUUUAGCCAGUUUGUAAUAAAAAGAAGAUUUAGGGCUAAUAUUGAUAGUAUUCUAUGAGUUGUGUAAAUAUUGAUAAUUUUUUUAUUUAGGUAUCAAACUUAAUAGUUUUCUGAUGCGCGGGAUAUUUACAUAACUGUCACAGUUUAAAAGAAAUUUAACAAAUUUUUAGUAUGAAACCUAGUAUAAAUGCUUGGCAGGGAAAUAUUUAUAUUUGUAGCACAUAGUUCCAUUAAAAUAGGAAUAUUAAUUAGUAAUCCCUAAAAAUAAGCAAAUUGAAUGGAAAGCCAGUAAUUCUUUGUACGGAAAUCAUGCAUUUUUCUCUUUAACUAUUUGCUUUCCUUCUUUUAAUUCAUCUUUCCUUCUUCAUAUGUAAUAAUAUCAUACAAACUCGCUCGCAAACUCAAAUCAUCAAAAUAACAUCAAUAAUCAAGAAUUAAUCAUUAAAAUUCAAGAUUUUUCAAAGUUAAACUCAAAUCUCCAGCUUUUUACAUAAGUGUUGAAAGGCCUCGGGUCACCCAGACCUCAAUAAAAGAUGCAUACGGGUCUAAAAUUAUCAUACGAAUCUAUAGAAAUUGUCAAAUCAUCGAUCCGGGGUGGUUUACCAAAAACGUUGACCGUGGUCAACUCUAGCUAUUUCCAAAGUCAAAAAUCACAUUUUCUUUAAAUUAUUCACAUUUAGACUUAUCGGAAACCGACACGGACCACACACGCAAGUUAUAAAUCAGCAAAUUGAUCUAUGAAAACUCUCGAAACAUAAAAUAGAAAGCUACUACACAAACCUAUUAGGUCGUCACAGGUUGAUGCAUUUUUUAUAGUAUCAUUAAAUCAUUCACCCACUGACAUAGCCACUAUAACAUCAAUCUUAGUUUGUGAGAUAUAUUUGUUCCAUAUUUGUUAAGAUUUUGAACAGGCCCCAAUAAUACACGAGGAGUCCUCAUCAUAAUCACAUCGUUCACACUUUGGUAAUUCAAUUAACCUCCUAAUAAAUAUAAGGUCACUUGACAAAAGUUUGUUAGGUCUGACAAGCCAUAUAAAAUAUUUUGAGUGCUUAGCAAUACAAAGCUUUAAUAUAUUAUUUCAUUCCAUGUCAUAUGAGGUAGUUACAUUACCACAAACAACCUUAUAUGCGGAUUUGGUACAAAAAGUGAUUUCUUUUUCAAAAACAACAUUAUCACGAAUAACAUUAAAUAAGAUAAUAUAUAUUUGAGAUGGAUCAAGAAAAUGAGGUUACAGAUGUAGACCAUUAUCUAUCCAAUAACACAUCAGAACUUUAACAGGUGUGUCAACUUUAGUUAGUAUCGAUACUAAAUUUAUAGAUAAGUGGCCAUGUGUAUAACCUUUGUUUGUAUUUGUAGACAUCAUGACAAUAUAUUAUUUUGGUUAGUGUAGCCGAUUUAUUUUAAAUGUGAGGGCAUAGCAAAAAGUAAGGACCAAGAAGUCACGAAGCACAAAGAAGGAAGCUUUAGCCAGUUUGUAAUAAAAAGAAGAUUUAGGGCUAAUAUCGAUAGUAUUCUAUGAGUUAUGCUAAUAUUGAUAAUUUUUUUAUUCAGUUGUCAAACUUAAUAGUUUUCUUAUUCUUUUAAGACCUUAAAUAUCAAGGCCCAAUUAUCUCAAUAGAACUUCAACCCAAGCUAAUUUGUAAACAAUUCAUGUUUGGUUCUAAAUUUCUAAUUUUAUAAAAAAACUAGUUAAGUUUCAAGUAAGACAAAUCCAGUGAACUAUCCACUUAUUGUUAACCAACAAAAGCUGCUCCAAUGAUAGCAGAUUAUCUUAUUCAUUCUAAACAACUAAAAUUAAUAUAAUUACUAAGACGAAAUGCCUCUACUCAACGAUCCAAAUUGAAAUAUCUACAGAAAUCUGCCAAACAAAACUUUGUAUAUAACAAUAAAGCUAGCAGAUCAAUAAUGACAUGAUUUUCUCCUUUUUAAAUAAUCAUUGAAGCAUCAUCAAGCCCACCCGAAUAUUCUUAUGAACCAAACUAAAAAACAACCAGAACUACAGGAGAUGGACACAAACAGAGACUGGAAAGCAGUAAUAUCAUACUUGGUAUCAACCCGGAUGUAAACAAAAUAGGAAGUUCAACCAUCCAUUACAUAGCAUUGGUAUUUAUAUACAAACUGAUAAGAAUAGAAUGCUUUAAUGGUACAAUGAAGUAAAGAGAACUCAAAUCGAUUUGUUUGCAUUCAUUCUGGAACAAAGAUUACAGUAGUGUUUAAAGAAUUACCUCGACAGCAGAAAGAAAAGGUGUUAGCGCUAGAUGAACUAAAACUCAACAACCACCACCAGCAAAAUAGCAUCCAAAUUAUUCUCCUGCUUCUCUAAAAAUAUUUUACACUCAAGAUACUACUCAUAAAACUCUUAAAUUUUUAGCUUACUAUAUGUCUUCAGCUGAUGACUUUUUGCUCUCUAAGAUGUAUUUUACAUAGUGUAAAAUUGUUCUCUAGAGUGUGUAAAAAAUAUCAAAAUGAGAAAAAUAGAUCUUCUUUAAAUAGGAGGAGAAAGGCCCUUGAGACAUAUUUUAU
rnacentral:lncRNA from 1 species